rnacentral:rRNA from 1 species
GACGAACGCUGGCGGCGCGCCUAACACAUGCAAGUCGAACGAGCGAGAGAGAGCUUGCUUUCUCGAGCGAGUGGCGAACGGGUGAGUAACGCGUGAGGAACCUGCCUCAAAGAGGGGGACAACAGUUGGAGACGACUGCUAAUACCGCAUAAGCCCACGACCCGGCAUCGGGUUGAGGGAAAAGGAGCAAUCCGCUUUGAGAUGGCCUCGCGUCCGAUUAGCUGGUUGGUGAGGUAACGGCCCACCAAGGCAACGAUCAGUAGCCGGACUGAGAGGUUGAACGGCCACAUUGGGACUGAGACACGGCCCAG